rnacentral:rRNA from 5 species
AAAUUGAAGAGUUUGAUCAUGGCUCAGAUUGAACGCUGGCGGCAGGCCUAACACAUGCAAGUCGAACGGUAACAGGAAGCAGCUUGCUGCUUCGCUGACGAGUGGCGGACGGGUGAGUAAUGUCUGGGAAACUGCCUGAUGGAGGGGGAUAACUACUGGAAACGGUGGCUAAUACCGCAUAACGUCGCAAGACCAAAGAGGG